rnacentral:tRNA from 2 species
GCCCUUGUAGCUCAACGGAUAGAGCGCCGGUUUCCUAAACCGGGCGUAGCCGGUCCGACUCCGGCCUUGGGCA